UACGUAGGGGGGCGAGCGUUGUCCGGAUUUAUUGGGCGUAAAGGGCUCGUAGGCGGUUUGUCGCGUCGGCCGUGAAAACCUGCAGCUUAACUGUGGGCGUGCGGGCGAUACGGGCAGACUGGAGUACUGCAGGGGAGACUGGAAUUCCUGGUGUAGCGGUGGAAUGCGCAGAUAUCAGGAGGAACACCGGUGGCGAAGGCGGGUCUCUGGGCAGUAACUGACGCUGAGGAGCGAAAGCGUGGGGAGCGAACAGG
rnacentral:rRNA from 1 species